rnacentral:rRNA from 1 species
GUGGGGAAUAUUCCGCAAUGGACGAAAGUCUGACGGAGCAACGCCGCGUGAGUGAUGAAGGUUUUCGGACUGUAAAGCUCUGUUGUUUGGGACGAAAGUGCCUGUUGCGAACAGUUACGGGUAUUGACGGUACUAAACGAGGAAGCCACGGCUAACUACGUGCCAGCAGCCGCGGUAAUACGUAGGUGGCAAGCGUUGUCCGGAAUUAUUGGGCGUAAAGAGCAUGUAGGCGGGAAUCUAAGUCUGUUGUUAAAAUGCGGGGCUCAACCCCGUAUUGCGAUGGAAACUGGGUUUCUUGAGUGCAGGAGAGGAAAGGGGAAUUCCCAGUGUAGCGGUGAAAUGCGUAGAUAUUGGGAGGAACACCAGUGGCGAAGGCGCCUUUCUGGACUGUGUCUGACGCUGAGAUGCGAAAGCCAGGGUAGCGAACGGGAUUAGAAACCCCGGUAGUCC